GAAUCAUUCACAAUGGGGGAAACCCUGAUGGUGCGACGCCGCGUGGGGGAUAAGGUCUUCGGAUUGUAAACCCCUGUCAUGUGGGACAUUAAAAAGAUAGUACCACAAGAGGAAGAGACGGCUAACUCUGUGCCAGCAGCCGCGGUAAUACAGAGGUCUCAAGCGUUGUUCGGAAUCACUGGGCGUAAAGCGUGCGUAGGCUGUUUCGUAAGUCGUGUGUGAAAGGCGCGGGCUCAACCCGCGGACGGCACAUGAUACUGCGAGACUAGAGUAAUGGAGGGGGAACCGGAAUUCUCGGUGUAGCAGUGAAAUGCGUAGAUAUCGAGAGG
rnacentral:rRNA from 1 species